rnacentral:rRNA from 1 species
AACGAACGCUGGCGGCAGGCUUAACACAUGCAAGUCGAGCGCCCCGCAAGGGGAGCGGCAGACGGGUGAGUAACACGUGGGAAUCUACCCAUCCCUACGGAACAACUCCGGGAAACUGGAGCUAAUACCGUAUACGCCCUUCGGGGGAAAGAUUUAUCGGGGAUGGAUGAGCCCGCGUUGGAUUAGCUAGUUGGUGGGGUAAAGGCCUACCAAGGCGACGAUCCAUAGCUGGUCUGAGAGGAUGAUCAGCCACAUUGGGACUGAGACACGGCCCAAACUCCUACGGGAGGCAGCAGUGGGGAAUAUUGGACAAUGGGCGCAAGCCUGAUCCAGCCAUGCCGCGUGAGUGAUGAAGGCCUUAGGGUUGUAAAGCUCUUUCACCGAUGAAGAUAAUGACGGUAGUCGGAGAAGAAGCCCCGGCUAACUUCGUGCCAGCCGCCGCCGUAAUAC